rnacentral:rRNA from 1 species
GUGGGGAAUCUUGCGCAAUGGGCGAAAGCCUGACGCAGCCAUGCCGCGUGAAUGAUGAAGGUCUUAGGAUUGUAAAAUUCUUUCACCGGGGACGAUAAUGACGGUACCCGGAGAAGAAGCCCCGGCUAACUUCGUGCCAGCAGCCGCGGUAAUACGAAGGGGGCUAGCGUUGCUCGGAAUUACUGGGCGUAAAGGGCGCGUAGGCGGACAGUUUAGUCAGAGGUGAAAGCCCAGGGCUCAACCUUGGAAUUGCCUUUGAUACUGGCUGUCUUGAGUACGGGAGAGGUGAGUGGAACUCCGAGUGUAGAGGUGAAAUUCGUGGAUAUUCGGAAGAACACCAGUGGCGAAGGCGACUCACUGGCCCGUUACUGACGCUGAGGCGCGAAAGCGUGGGGAGCAAACAGGAUUAGAUACCCCUGUAGUCC